rnacentral:rRNA from 1 species
GACGAACGCUGGCGGCGCGCUUAACACAUGCAAGUCGAGCGAGAGCCAGACCUUCGGGUCUGGGGACAGCGGCGAACGGGUGAGUAACACGUGGGUAAUCAACCCUCGGUACUGGGAUAGCCCGGGGAAACCCGGAUUAAUACCGGAUGGCCCUUCGGAUCUUCGGUUCUGAAGGAAAAGGUAGCUUCGGCCUCCGACCGAGGACGAGCCCGCGGCGGAUUAGCUUGUUGGUGGGGUAACGGCCUACCAAGGCGGCGAUCCGUAGCUGGUCUGAGAGGACGAUCAGCCACACUGGGACUGAGACACGGCCCAGAGUCCUACGGGAGGCAGCAGUGGGGAAUCUUGCGCUAAUGCGGGAAACCGUGACGCAGCGACGCCGCGUGAGGGAAGAAGGCCUUCGGGUUGUAAACCUCUUUCAGGAGGGACGAAGCUACUCGGGUUAAUAGCCCAGAGGGUGACGGUACCUCCAGAAGAAGCCCCGGCUAACUACGUGCCAGCCGCCGCUGUAACAC